AUAGUACUCCCUCCGUCCGGAAUUACUUGUCAUCAAAAUUGAUGACAAUGGAUGUAUCUAGAACUAAAAUACAUCUAGAUACAUCCAUUUCAAUGACAAGUAUUUCCGGACGGAGGGAGUAUGUG
rfam:Triticum aestivum genome assembly, contig: Triticum_aestivum_CS42_TGACv1_scaffold_158950_2DL